rnacentral:rRNA from 1 species
CAGUCGCCGCGGUAAAACGUAGGGCGCAAGCGUUGUCCGGAAUUAUUGGGCGUAAAGAGCUCGUAGGCGGUCUGUCGCGUCUGGUGUGAAAUCCCGAGGCUCAACCUCGGGCUUGCAUCGGGUACGGGCAGACUAGAGUGCGGUAGGGGAGACUGGAAUUCCUGGUGUAGCGGUGGAAUGCGCAGAUAUCAGGAGGAACACCGAUGGCGAAGGCAGGUCUCUGGGCCGCAACUGACGCUGAGGAGCGAAAGCAUGGGGAGCGAACAGGAUUAGAUACCCGCGUAGUCCCUGUCUCUUAUAC